rnacentral:rRNA from 1 species
UAUUAUUAAAAAUGUAAUUUAAAAUAUUUAAGUAGUAUUAGUUAUGUUCUUAAAACUUAAAAAAUUUGGCGGUAUUUUAGUCUAUCCAGAGGAACCUGUUUUGUAAUCGAUAUUCCACGAUGGACCUUACUUAAGUUUGUAAUCAGUUUAUAUACCGUCGUUAUCAGAAUAUUUUAUAAGAAUAAUAAUAUUCAAUAAUUUUUAUUAAAAAUUAUAUCAGAUCAAGGUGUAGCUUAUAUUUAAGUAAUAAUGGGUUACAAUAAAUUUAUUUAAAUGGAUAAAAUUAUGAAAAAAUUUUUGAAGGUGGAUUUGGUAGUAAAAUUAUAAAGAUUAAUAAUUUGAUUUUAGCUCUAAAAUAUGUACAUAUCGCCCGUCGCUCUUAUUAUUAAGAUAAGAUAAGUCGUAACAUAGUAGAUGUACUGGAAAGUGUAUCUAGAAUGA